CGGAACGGGUGAGUAACGCGUGAGGAACCUGCCUCAAAGAGGGGGACAACGGUUGGAAACGACUGCUAAUACCGCAUAAGCCCACAGCUCGGCAUCGAGCAGAGGGAAAAGGAGUGAUCCGCUUUGAGAUGGCCUCGCGUCCGAUUAGCUAGUUGGUGAGGUAACGGCCCACCAAGGCGACGAUCGGUAGCCGGACUGAGAGGUUGAACGGCCACAUUGGAACUGAGACACGGUCCAA
rnacentral:rRNA from 1 species